GCAGGAAUGGCGGAAUGGUAUACGCGGCAGAUUUAGGAUCUGUUCUUUGAGAGUUCGAAUCUCUCUUCCUGUACAA
rnacentral:tRNA from 2 species